UACAGAGGGUGCGAGCGUUAAUCGGAUUUACUGGGCGUAAAGGGCGCGUAGGCGGUUGAAUGAGUGUGGUGUGAAAGCCCCGGGCUUAACCUGGGAAGCGCAUCGCAAACGAUUCGACUAGAGUAUAUGAGAGGGUGGCGGAAUUUCCGGUGUAGCGGUGAAAUGCGUAGAGAUCGGAAGGAACGUCGAUGGCGAAGGCAGCCACCUGGCAUAAUACUGACGCUGAGGCGCGAAAGCGUGGGGAGCGAACAGGAUUAGAUACCCUGGUAGUCCACGCUGUAAACGAUGAGAACUAGAUGUUAGUAGGGGAACCUAUUAGUAUCGAAGCUAACGCGAUAAGUUCUCCGCCUGGGGAGUACGGCCGCAAGGUUGAA
rnacentral:rRNA from 1 species